GAUGAACGCUAGCUACAGGCUUAACACAUGCAAGUCGAGGGGCAGCGAGAGGAAAGCUUGCUUUCCUUGUCGGCGACCGGCGCACGGGUGAGUAACGCGUAUCCAACCUUCCCCUUAGUAGGGCAUAGCCCGGCGAAAGUCGGAUUAAUACCCUAUGUUUUCCGAUGAGGACAUCUGAGCUGGAACAAAGAUUUAUCGCUAAGGGAUGGGGAUGCGUCUGAUUAGGUUGUUGGCGGGGUAACGGCCCACCAAGCCUACGAUCAGUAGGGGUUCUGAGAGGAAGGUCCCCCACAUUGGUACUGAGACACGGACCAAACUCC
rnacentral:rRNA from 1 species